rnacentral:snRNA from 1 species
ACACUCACCUCAGCAGCACAUAUACUAGAAUUGGAACAAUAGAGAGAAGAUUGGCAUAUCCCCUGUGUGAGGAUGACAUGCAAAUUUGUGAAGCAUUCCAUAUUUUU